CGAAAAAGCAUAAUAGGUCCCCUUUAAACCAGCAAGGAAGAAAUCUAGAGAAGAGAUUGAUAGUUGGGGAGUGCAGUGGGGGAGUUCAGGACUCUUGGCCGCGGGGGUUGUCCAGCCAACCAGCGACCCUUUCCCCCAGUUUUGAGCGGAAGCGUUGUAAUAGGACACGCCCAUUGACGUCACCUUGGUUCAUGCUUCUGGUCGAGGGACUCCUCUGUGUUUGGGGUAGCAGCUGGGAAACGGCUUUCCGGGUUCAGAAACAAUUUAUUUUGGGUCGACGGUUCGAAAUCAGGUGCAGGAAACCAGAACGGUCACCUGACCAUGUCUGGGGAAAGGGGGUAGAGAGAUGGCAGAUCGACGGCGACUCACCGGAGGUGGAGCUGACGCAGAUGCGCCUCGCGCUGGACUCCUGCUAAGAGGGUCGUCUCUUAAAAGCUCAGAGGGACCCACACUCUGCGGCAACCGGGAGACCCGCUUAUCAUUUGUGACCGACUGUGUCUCUCUUCUCUCUUGUGUAUCUUUAUUAAAAACCCAGCCAUUCAAUGGAAAACGCACCCAGACACAGAAAGCAUAAGCCCUACAGACUCACGUACAUUAAGCACCAGUGAAAUGCAUGCUGUUGGUGUCAUCUAAACACUCCGUUUUACUAUCAGUAUCAGUGAUUAACUAUCUUGCGACACUGAAUAAAACACAUCCGGGUCGACAGAGCGCUCGAGUCUCUUAUUUAACUAAACACCGUCUUUGCUCUCUCUAAUCUUGAUCGGACUCCGUCAACGGUUAACGCUACAUCUCCGAGCCCGACAGCCGGGGACCGACUGCGCCGCGGGGAGAAAUGAUCAACGCGACUUAUGGCCCGCCGUGAUUCCGAGGAGCGUUUGUGGUUGAAUGCUUAAAACUGCUGCGUUCAGAUAAAGCGCUUUUUCUUUCUGUUUUGUGCAGUGCGAGUGUCUUGAAAAGACGAGGGAAAGGGUAUACCUGUCAAACUGUACAGGUAUUCUGACUAUCAUGUGCAGCAUGCUUUAUUCUGUAGCAAGCAUGCAACAAUUACAAUCAAGCGUAUUACCUUUUUGUGUCAGUACAUAAAGUGAGGUGAAAAACUAACAAAAAUAUAUAUUGCAUUUAUAAUUGGUUAAAGUUCAAGCUUUAUGUAUGGGACAAUGUUACAUUCAAUUACUUGUCUGAGUCAGAUAUUUAUUAAAUAAAGCAAGAGCAUUUGUUUAAUUGAGUAUUGUUGAGCAUUUCUUUUGAUGGUUGCAUGCACGGGUAGUUCAGUAGUCAUCGCUAACCAAAUGGCGCCAUCUACUGGUAGAUAACGCAAAAUGCCCAUACAUUGAAAGGCCUAAUCACUCAUUAAUGUGAAUUUUGUCAUUGACUCAAAGAUAAC
ensembl:lncRNA